CAGGAAAGUCUUGAUCCUUAGCUGAAGAUUUCUGCAGUAUGAGCAACAGGGCAAAGUAGCUGAUCACAUCUGAAAUGACUAGGAAACAAAGGCUAAAUAUGGAAUUAGUAGAUAUUGUGAUUAGAGCAGUUGAGAACUUGAUGUUCUGAUUUCAAAGAAAAAUAAGAAAUUCUGAAAAGAAAAUAGAUCUGCUUCAACUGGAAAAAAAAAAGUGUUUUUUGUUCUUGUUUUUGUUUUUAGCUAAAUGUAGGCCUGAAAAUACUGUUUCAACUUAAUUGGAAGCAUUCAAUUGGGCUGAAAUGAAUGCAAAGUUCACUUCCAGUCACUGUCAUGACUAGAUCAGAUGCUAACUUCUAGCUUGCUGAAAGCAAGGAAAGUAUAAUAAACGCCAUGCUUACCCAUACAGGACAAAGAAACAAGGUGUGAUUUUCCAGUUUCCCGUGGCAUCUGUUUCUGGUUGCUGCUAGAGAUAGAAAAUUAUGACUUUUCAGUUCAUGAAUUUCAGGUGGACUUACUUUACAUGGCCUUACAAGAAACAUCAGAUCAUCUGCAAUAUCCUUAAAGCAGGCUUUUUGUAUUUAAUGACCUACUCACCAUUGUAUAUGGAAUUCAGCAGGCAUCAGUACAACCUCCACACCCACCCACAGAGAGAUAAGAUCCAUUUUCUCCAUUCAAAGAAGGCUUUGAAAUAACAUCAUCAGUCUCUCAAGUUCCCUGCCCUUUUGUUGCUUAAUUUCUCUCUAAUAGAAGAUCAGGGCACUGUAAUUUGUCCAGAAAUCUGCCUUCAGGUUUCUAUCUGCACUGUUUUAAUGGAUUGCUGAGUUUUUGAUUUAUUAUCCCAAAUGUCUGGCCAGUAUAAAUGUUUCCUUUCC
ensembl:lncRNA